rnacentral:rRNA from 1 species
CGUGUAGGCGGUUUGUCAAGUCGGGUGUGAAAGCCUGGGGCUCAGCCCCAGAAGUGCAUCCGAGACUAGCGAGCUAGAGCGCGAUAGAGGAGGGUGGAAUUCCUGGUGUAGCGGUGAAAUGCGUAGAUAUCAGGAGGAACACCGGCGGCGAAGGCGGCCCUCUGGAUCGUUGCUGACGCUGAGACGCGAAAGCGUGGGGAGCAAACAGGAUUAGAUACCCUGGUAGUCCACGCCUUAAACGAUGGGUACUAGGUGUUCGGGGUGUUGACCCCCUGAGUGCCGCAGUUAACGCAUUAAGUACCCCGCCUGGGGACUACGGCCGCAAGGUUAAA